rnacentral:rRNA from 1 species
UACGGAGGGUGCGAGCGUUAAUCGGAAUUACUGGGCGUAAAGCGCAUGUAGGUGGUUAAGUUAGUCAGAUGUGAAAGCCCUGGGCUUAACCUAGGAACUGCAUCUGAUACUGCUUAGCUAGAGUAUGGUAGAGGGGUAUGGAAUUUCCUGUGUAGCGGUGAAAUGCGUAGAUAUAGGAAGGAACACCAGUGGCGAAGGCGGUACCCUGGACUGAUACUGACACUGAGAUGCGAAAGCGUGGGGAGCAAACAGG